GCACGUCUUGUCAUGUGUCACAAGUGGGUCUUGUGACUAUGGCUUGGCAACACAUGCAUCAUUUGACAGUCACAUGAGCUCUCCAUGUGGUCAAAAUUUGAAUAUAAAUCAAGCGUGCUUUCACAACUUCCCCACAGAGGCCGAGAGGACAGCCAAGUUUGUGUUUGUACUUUAAGACCGAGCCAGUGAACACCUUCUUUUGUGGAAAAUUUGGAAAAAAAAAGAGACAAAACUUUGAAAUAAAAAUGAAGUCAUUCGUAGCAUUUCUACUUGUUCUGGUGACUGUGGCGAAUGCGGCCUCCUUUGCCGCGCUCAGCGAAGACGUUCAAUGGCUCGCUUGGAAAACCUAUCAUAAAAAAACCUACAGCGACGAGUAUGAAGAACGAUUUAGACGAGGCAUUUGGGUGUAUAAUUUAAAGGUAUGUUCGCUUAAAACUCAACGAAUCUUUGCUGUAUAAAGGUUUAAAUUAAUACGCAUGUUAAUAUUGGGUCAGAACAUCAGAAGAUUCCUGAAAUUUCUAAUGUGGUAUGACAUUUUUAACGAAUAAAUUUAGGAUAAGCAAAGUAUUAAAAAGUAUUUGUUAGAAUGGUAUAUUAUAUAUUCGUGAAUUGCGAGUGCUUUAGAUCAUUAAAAAAUUGCCUGUAUAAAAUUAAAAUAUACACAAAUUGAGUAUGUUUGUAUUUAAUAAAAAUGGUAAAGUACUUCUUAUGCAUGAGUCAAUUCCAGGAG